rnacentral:rRNA from 1 species
GACGAACGCUGGCGGCGUGCCUAAUACAUGCAAGUCGAGCGGACUGACUGGGAGCUUGCUCUUGUUCGGUCAGCGGCGGACGGGUGAGUAACACGUGGGCAACCUGCCCGCAAGACCGGGAUAACUCCGGGAAACCGGAGCUAAUACCGGAUAACACCGAAGACCGCAUGGUCUUUGGUUGAAAGGCGGCGCAAGCUGCCACUUGCGGAUGGGCCCGCGGCGCAUUAGUUAGUUGGUGAGGUAACGGCUCACCAAGGCGACGAUGCGUAGCCGGCCUGAGAGGGUGACCGGCCACACUGGGACUGAGACACGGCCCAGACUCCUACGGGAGGCAGCAGUAGGGAAUCUUCCGCAAUAGGCGAAAGCCUGACGGAGCGACGCCGCGUGAGCGAAGAAGGCCUUCGGGUCGUAAAGCUCUGUUGUGAGGGACGAAGGAGCGCCGUUUGAAGAAGGCGGCGCGGUGACGGUACCUCACGAGGAAGCCCCGGCUAACUACGUG